rnacentral:rRNA from 1 species
UACGUAGGUGGCAAGCGUUGUCCGGAAUUAUUGGGCGUAAAGCGCGCGCAGGCGGUCUCUUAAGUCUGAUGUGAAAGCCCACGGCUCAACCGUGGAGGGUCAUUGGAAACUGGGGGACUUGAGUGCAGGAGAGAAGAGUGGAAUUCCACGUGUAGCGGUGAAAUGCGUAGAGAUGUGGAGGAACACCAGUGGCGAAGGCGGGUCUCUGGACAGUUCCUGACACUGAGGCACGAAGGCCAGGGGAGCAAACGGG